rnacentral:rRNA from 1 species
GUAGGUGGCAAGCGUUGUCCGGAAUUAUUGGGCGUAAAGCGCGCGCAGGCGGUUCUUUAAGUCUGAUGUGAAAGCCCACGGCUCAACCGUGGAGGGUCAUUGGAAACUGGAGAACUUGAGUACAGAAGAGGAAAGCGGAAUUCCACGUGUAGCGGUGAAAUGCGUAGAGAUGUGGAGGAACACCAGUGGCGAAGGCGGCUUUCUGGUCUGUAACUGACGCUGAGGCGCGAAAGCGUGGGGAGCAAACAGGGAUUAGAUACCCAGGUAGUCCACGCCGUAAACGAUGAGUGCUAAGUGUUAGGGGGUUUCCGCCCCCUUAGUGCUGCAGCUAACGCAUUAAGCACUCCGCCUGGGGAGUACGGCCGCAAGGCUG